rnacentral:rRNA from 1 species
AUUGAACGCUGGCGGCAGGCCUAACACAUGCAAGUCGAGCGAGCGGCGGACGGGUGAGUACUGUCUGGGAACCUGCCUGAUGGAGGGGGAUAACUACUGGAAACGGUAGCUAAUACCGUAUACCAUCAGAUGUGCCCAGUUGGGAUUAGCUAGUAGGUGGGGUAACGGCUCACCUAGGCGACGAUCCCUAGCCGGUCUGAGAGGAUGACCAGCCACACUGGAACUGAGACACGGUCCAGACUCCUACGGGAGGCAGCAGUGGGGAAUAUUGGACAAUGGGCGCAAGCCUGAUGCAGCCAUGCCGCGUGUAUGAAGAAGGCCUUCGGGUUGUAAAGUACUGUCAUCGGGGAGGCGGUACCCGCAGAGGAAGCACCGGCUAACUCCGUGCCAGCAGCCGCGGUAAUAC